rnacentral:rRNA from 1 species
GGCUCAGGACGAACGCUAGCGGCGUGCCUAAGGUAUGCAAGUCGAACGGCCCGCAAGGGUAGUGGCGAACGGUCGAGUAACACGUAGACAACCUGCCUCUGAGUGGGGGAUAACAGCUCGAAAGGGCUGCUAAUACCGCAUGUGGUGGUCCAGCGAUGCUGGAUUGACUAAAGGCGCAAGCCGCUGGGAGAUGGGUCUGCGGCCUAUCAGCUAGUUGGUGAGGUAACGGCUCACCAAGGCGACGACGGGUAGCUGGUCUGAGAGGAUGAUCAGCCGGACGGGGACUGAGACACGGCCCCGACUCCUUCGGGAGGCAGCAAUGAGGAAUAUUGCGCAAUGGGCGAAAGCCUGACGCAGCGACGCCGCGUGGGUGAGGAAGUUCUUCGGAAUGUAAAGCCCUUUUGUCAGGGACGAGAAUGGACGGUACCUGACGAAUAAGCCCCGGCUAACUACGUGCCAGCAGCCGCGGUAAUACGUAGGGGGCAAGCGUUGUCCGGAUUUACUGGGCGUAAAGCGCGCGUAGGCGGAAGAUUAAGUCCGAUCUGAAAGCCCCCGGCUCAACCGGGGAGGGUGGUUGGAAACUGGUCUUCUUGAGGGCGAGAGAGGGGAGUGGAAUUCCUGGUGUAGCGGUGAAAUGCGUAGAUAUCAGGAGGAACACCCAUGGCGAAGGCAGCUCCCUGGCUCGACCCUGACGCUGAGGCGCGAAAGCGUGGGGAGCGAACGGGAUUAGAUACCCCGGUAGUCCACGCCGUAAACGAUGGUCACUAGAUGUCUGCGGUAUCGACCCCGCAGGUGUCGCAGCUAACGCAUUAAGUGACCCGCCUGGGGAGUAC